UACGGAGGGAGCUAGCGUUGUUCGGAAUUACUGGGCGUAAAGCGUGCGUAGGCGGUUAUUCAAGUCAGAGGUGAAAGCCCGGGGCUCAACCCCGGAACUGCCUUUGAAACUAGGAUAGCUAGAAUCUGGAGAGGUCAGUGGAAUUCCGAGUGUAGAGGUGAAAUUCGUAGAUAUUCGGAAGAACACCAGUGGCGAAGGCGACUGACUGGACAAGUAUUGACGCUGAGGCACGAAAGCGUGGGGAUGAACA
rnacentral:rRNA from 1 species